AACGAACGCUGGCGGCAGGCUUAACACAUGCAAGUCGAGCGCCCCGCAAGGGGAGCGGCAGACGGGUGAGCAACGCGUGGGAAUCUACCCAUCUCUACGGAAUAACGCAUGGAAACGUGUGCUAAUACCGUAUACGUCCUUCGGGAGAAAGAUUUAUCGGAGAUGGAUGAGCCCGCGUUGGAUUGGCUAGUUGGUGGGGUAAAGGCCUACCAAGGCGACGAUCCAUAGCUGGUCUGAGAGGAUGAUCAGCCACACUGGGACUGAGACACGGCCCAGACUCCUACGGGAGGCAGCAGUGGGGAAUAUUGGACAAUGGGCGCAAGCCUGAUCCAGCCAUGCCGCGUGAGUGAUGAAGGCCCUAGGGUUGUAAAGCUCUUUCACCGGCGAAGAUAAUGACGGUAACCGGAGAAGAAGCCCCGGCUAACUUCGUGCCAGCCGCCGCCGUAAAAC
rnacentral:rRNA from 1 species